rnacentral:rRNA from 1 species
UGGGGAAUAUUGGACAAUGGGCGAAAGCCUGAUCCAGCGAUGCCGCGUGUGUGAAGAAGGCCUUCGGGUUGUAAAGCACUUUCGGUAAGAAAGAAAGGUCAAGCACUAAUAUUGCUUGAAUUUGACGUUACUUACAAAAGAAGCACCGGCUAACUCUGUGCCAGCAGCCGCGGUAAUACAGAGGGUGCAAGCGUUAAUCGGAAUUACUGGGCGUAAAGGGCGCGUAGGUGGCCAAGUAAGUUGGAUGUGAAAUACCUGGGCUUAACCUGGGAACUGCAUCCAAAACUGCUUGGCUAGAGUAAGGUAGAGGGAAGUGGAAUUUCCGGUGUAGCGGUGAAAUGCGUAGAUAUCGGAAGGAACACCAGUGGCGAAGGCGGCUUCCUGGACCUAUUACUGACAC